AUGAAAUCGAAAGGGUUUAGGCUUAGUAGAACUAAAACCGAGUACAUGAUGUGCGGUUUCAGUACUAAUAGGUGUGAGGAGGAGGAGGUUAGCCUUGAUGGCCAGGUGGUACCUCGGAAGGACACCUUUCGGUAUUUGGGGUCAAUGUUGCAGGAGGAUGGUGGUAUUGAUGAAGAUGUGAACCAUCGAAUCAAAGUCGGAUGGAUGAAGUGGCGCCAAGCUUCUGGCAUUCUCUGUGACAAGAGAGUGCCACAAAAGCUAAAAGGCAAGUUCUACAGGACGGCGGUUCGACCCGCAAUGUUGUAUGGCGCGGAGCGUUGGCCGACUAAAAGGCGACAUGUUCAAUAG
rnacentral:rRNA from 1 species